rnacentral:lncRNA from 1 species
AAAAAGAAAUAUGAAUGGAACGAGAGAAAAUAAAAUAUUAAAUCCAUGAGAAAAAUUCAAGAAGAUAAUAAGAAUCUGGAUCGUGGUAGUUAAGAAACUACUCUGAUUAGGGCUCUUAAUCUUUUAACCAAACAGAUCCAUCGAUAAAGAACUAGGUCUUUACCAACAUCGGAUUAAAAAAAAAUCAAAGAUCAACUGUUAAGGAACGAAGGUCCUUGACAGCAUAUGAUCUGUAGAAUAAGAAAUCACUCCUCUCAGCAUGAUAGAUGAAAAUUUUGGAGGAGACAGAUCUUCUCUUGGCAGAAUAGGCUUGCGUGGGUAGAUGGUGGAGUCGAAUCAGAGUCGCAGGAACAUUGGAUCUUAAGUAGAAGGAGUAGGAUAGAAAGUGGGCCUCACACCCUUCUCUUGUGGGGCGAUUUUGGGUCUCACACCCUCUCCCUCUCGGAGCGAUUAACACAAGUAUUUAUGGAGUUUGUAAAAUUAUUCAUUGUCUUCUUCAUGAAAGAUAAAAGGAUUUAUAUAGGACUCUAAGGGUCCUAUUUCUUUAAGAAUCUCUUACCUUUUACAAGAAAAAAUCAGCCCUCCACAAAAAAGUAAAGCAUUAUAUGUGAUAAAAUAAUCUAUCAUGGGAAAGAAAUCAGCCCUCAACAAAAUAAGUAAGUAGCCAAGAACUCUUAAGGAAUUCUAGGAAAGAAAUGAAACUCCAUGUGGGUGCUUGAUGCUUGACACAACUUGGCAUGAGCACGGCACACGCUGGCAUGCAUAUUUCUUCUCUUGGC